UACGGGGGGUGCAAGCGUUGUUCGGAUUUACUGGGCGUAAAGGGCGCGUAGGCGGUCAGCACAAGUCAGUUGUGAAAUCUCCGGGCUUAACUCGGAAAGGUCAACUGAUACUGUGCGACUAGAGUGCAGAAGGGGCAACUGGAAUUCUCGGUGUAGCGGUGAAAUGCGUAGAUAUCUGGAGGAACACCGGUGGCGAAGGCGGCAUCCUGGACCGAGAUUGACGCUGAUGCGCGAAAGCCAGGGGAGCAAACGGG
rnacentral:rRNA from 1 species